GACGAACGCUGGCGGCGUGCCUAAUACAUGCAAGUUGAGCGAUGAAGAUUGGUGCUUGCACCAAUUUGAAGAGCAGCGAACGGGUGGGUAACGCGUGGGUAAUCUGCCUUUGAGCGGGGGACAACAUCUGGAAACGAAUGCUAAUACCGCAUAAUAACUUUAAACAUAAGUUUUAAGUUUGAAAGAUGCAAUUGCAUCACUCAAAGAUGAUCCCGCGUUGUAUUAGCUAGUUGGUGAGGUAAAGGCUCACCAAAGCGAUGAUACAUAGCCGACCUGAGAGGGGGGUCGGCCCCCUUGGGACUGAGACCAGGCCCAAACCCCCACGGGGAGGAGCAGGAGGGGAACUUCGGCAAAUGGCGGAAGGCUGGCCGAGCAAAGCCGCGUGAGGGAAGGAGGUUUUCGGAUCGUAAAAAUCUGUUGGUAGAGAAGAAAGUAGGUGGGAGUGGAAAGCUCAUCAAGUGACGGUAACUAACCAGAAAGGGACGGCUAACUACGUG
rnacentral:rRNA from 1 species